rnacentral:rRNA from 1 species
GGAAUAUUGGUCAAUGGGCGAGAGCCUGAACCAGCCAAGUAGCGUGCAGGAUGACGGCCCUAUGGGUUGUAAGCUGCUUUUAUACAGGGAUAAAGUGGGGAACGUGUUCCCUUUUGUAGGUACUGUAUGAAUAAGGACCGGCUAAUUCCGUGCCAGCAGCCGCGGUAAUACGGAAGGUCCGGGCGUUAUCCGGAUUUAUUGGGUUUAAAGGGAGCGCAGGCUGAUUGUUAAGCGUGACGUGAAAUGUAGCCGCUCAACGGCUGAACUGCGGCGCGAACUGGCAGUCGUGAGUGAGUACGACGUCAGCGGAAUUCGUGGUGUAGCGGUGAAAUGCUUAGAUAUCACGAAGAACCCCGAUUGCGAAGGCAGCUGACGAGUCCUUUACUGACGCUAAAGCUCGAAGGUGCGGGUAUCGAACA